rnacentral:rRNA from 1 species
AGCGAACGCUGGCGGCAUGCCUAACACAUGCAAGUCGCACGGGGGGGCUUCGGCCUCCCAGUGGCGGACGGGUGAGGAACGCGUAGGGACCUGUCGAGGGGUGGGGGAUAACCGCGGGAAACUGCGGCUAAUACCGCAUGACGCCGCGGCGUGACAGCCGGGGCCAAAGGCGAAAGCCGCCCGCCCGGGGGCCUGCGUCCGAUUAGCUGGUUGGCGGGGUAGCGGCCCACCAAGGCGUCGAUCGGUAGCUGGUCUGAGAGGGUGAUCAGCCACACCGGGACUGAGACACGGCCCGGACUCCUACGGGAGGCAGCAGUGGGGAAUAUUGGACAAUGGGCGCAAGCCUGAUCCAGCAAUGCCGCGUGGGUGAAGAAGGUCUUCGGAUUGUAAAGCCCUUUCGGCGGGGACGAUGGUGACGGUACCCGCAGAAGAAGCCCCGGCUAACUUCGU